AACGAACGCUGGCGGCAUGCCUAACACAUGCAAGUCGAACGAGACCUUCGGGUCUAGUGGCGCACGGGUGCGUAACGCGUGGGAACCUGCCCUUAGGUUCGGAAUAACUCCCCGAAAGGGGUGCUAAUACCGGAUAAUGUCUUCGGACCAAAGAUUUAUCGCCUUUGGAUGGGCCCGCGUUGGAUUAGCUAGUUGGUAGGGUAAAAGCCUAUCAAGGCGACGAUCCAUAGCUGGUUUGUGAGGAUGGUCCGCCACACUGGGACUGAGACACGGCCCAGACUCCUACGGGAGGCAGCAGUGGGGAAUAUUGGACAAUGGGCGAAAGCCUGAUCCAGCAAUGCCGCGUGAGUGAUGAAGGCCUUAGGGUUGUAAAGCUCUUUUACCCGGGAUGAUAAUGACAUUACCAGGAGAAUAAGCUCCGGCUAACUCCGUG
rnacentral:rRNA from 1 species